GGCCUCCUGGUGUUUACCACAGGCCAUGUUAUUACACUGUAUAGAGCAAGGGGGCAGAGUAAAUUUACCCCAUACACACCUUGGCUCAGGCUCUGUGCUUUAUCUGUAGUGAAUGGAGAGACAUGA